ACCCCUUGAUGAGCCUUUGAUGAGGAGAUGAUUAGGAGUAAAAAAAUGCUGCAUAGAUUAUCUGCAUAACUAACACUGUAGCAGACAGCCAUGCAGACAUUUUUCUGUAUACAACUCCCACUCAUUUUUCUGAGAGAUAAAAGCAGCCAAGAUUGACAAUCUGUCAGUUUCACCAUUUUCAUUGUGUACUUUUUCUGGGCAGGUUAUUCACAUCGAACUCCUUUGAUGUGAUCAGUGAUGAUGCUUUUAUUGGUCUUCCACAUCUAGAGUAUUUAUUCAUAGAAAACAACAACAUCAAGUCAAUUUCAAGACAUACUUUCCGGGGACUAAAGUCAUUAAUUCACUUG
rnacentral:lncRNA from 1 species